ensembl:lincRNA
CUACAGUCCAGGGGUCAGGGAUUCCCAGCCUCUCUGUUCCAUGGCCUCGCCCCCAGAGUGGUCUCCCUGUCAGACGUGUGGUAGAGUCCAGCGUCCUGGUCUCUGGGUCUCGCCCCGUGAGGUGGCUGCCCGGGAGGUGAGGAGGACGCCCAGUCCCUUACCACAGUGCAGCAAGCCGAAGGAGUGGUCUGGGGAUCUGAAGCCACAAACAGCCGCCACUGCUUCAUUCCUCCGCCUGUCCUCCCUCCUCUCUCCCUGUGGUUCUCAAACUUUGCCAUGUGACACAGUCGCCUGGGAGCUUAUCACAGUGCACCUCACUGGGCUCCACCCCAGUGUUUCUGAGUUAGUAGCUCUGGAGCUGGGAAUUGAGGUUUUGCAUUUCUAGCAAGUUCUCUGGCUGCUGGUCUUGCUACCCAAGGAAUGUGCUUUGAGAAUCACUGCUCUGUUCCUAUAGAGCUGGUGAACUGGGUUGGAAAUGGCCGGGAAAACCCAACAGGGACCGUUCCUCAGGACUUUCUGCUGCAUGUGCAAGCAGGAAAAUACUGUUGGUUCCUACAGCCUCUUAUUCCCACUGCUCCCAAUGUUUUUGCAGCCGGUUCUCCAGGCGCUGUUGCUGGACCCUGCACUGCAGGCUGCUGUCUGUACCCCAUUAUCCAUCCAUCUCCAGGAGGCCUGCAAGCCAUCAGGAAGUCGCUCCCUGUUGGAGUGCAUGUGCUGGGCAUUCAGGACGCGGCUUCCAGCCCGCUGUGCAGUAGGAGUGCUGCAAGACUGUGCGCGGACGGUGAGGAAUGCUGCUGGGAAUUAAAGCUAAAGCGUGCCGGUAAAAGUCCCCCGGAGAAGGGAAGCGGCUGCCUUGCCGAUGUACCGACAGAAAACUGAAGCUGGGGCCUGCUUCCGUGGGUGUAGUGUGAAGGCGCAGCAAGACCUUCCCAGUUUCCCCUCCCGCUCGCCUCUCCAGGUCUGGCCCAAUUGCCAGGCCCUUCACAGAGCUUUCCUAGAGUCCCUCAGACUAACCGGGCACCGUUUCUCCUGGGGGCUGCAGGUCCCUGUGUCUGUUUAAUGUUCAUGUCGUCCCAGUGGGCCACAUCUCCCUGGCUCCUCAGCAAAUAGGAGGUUCGAGUUUAAUGAAACGGUUGGCAUGGGCUCUCACCCAGCGCAGAGCUGUCACCCUCCCCAGAGCAGCACAGUGAGAACGGAGGCCCCGAAGCUCUUGGUCUGGGAGAGGGAGGAGGGUGCUGGGGACCCCCAGGUGACUCCCGCGCAUCCCCUAAAGCAGGCACUGUGUGGCCACGGCUAAGGGCCGGGUGAGCCCCACCCUUGCUCUCAGGAAGGUGGACUCUGUGUCUCCCACCCCCAGCAGUGCUGGGGACCCCCGGGAUGAGAGAGGUGGUGGGGAGGGAAGGCCAGCAGCCUUAGGGGCUCCCUCCAGACAGUUGUCACCCUGCAGGGCGGGGUGGGAGGGGAUAGUUUCCCCUCAGUCUAGUGGUGCCUCCCUCCUCCAUCUGAUUCCCAGGAUGGAAUUUUCCCGUCUCAGCCUCUCUGCCAAGCUCAGAAUAAGACUGGUUUGUGCACUGCACACUCAUACGCUUGUGUUUUCUUUCCAACUUGGGAAAACUCAGAUAUUCCAGCAGCUUUGUCAGCAGCUUUUAGCCCUCAGCCAGAGGGGAGCCUGUGAGCCACAGCCACUUACAUUCCAGCCGAGCCCGUGCUGGCCCAGGGCUCCGCCAGUGGCCGGACUGGGUGAGG